UUGCAAGAAAGCUAACUUCUGUAAUUUUUAGGCAGAGAAGAAAGCUCUAAAUGUGUGGGCAUCGAGAAAAUCGCACCUGUGAAAGAAACUCAAGAGGUCCAACCUUCCAUCUAAAUGAAGGACUUAUAAGAAACAUUUCGACUUGAAUCUUUAAAUAUCUCAAGGCCAAGCAGAGGAUGAAAGUACUACAUUGUAUCGAUGCGAGACAAAGCUGCAAAUUAUUCUUAAAUUGGUUGGAUCAAGAAAUUUACCGGAUUCUGAGUACUUUUUCUGGAGUUUGG